AUUGAACGCUGGCGGCAGGCUUAACACAUGCAAGUCGAGCGAGCGGCGGACGGGUGAGUCAUGUCUGGGCAACUGCCUGAUGGAGGGGGAUAACUACUGGAAACGGUAGCUAAUACCGCAUACCAUCCGAUGUGCCCAGAUGGGAUUAGCUAGUAGGUGGGGUAAUGGCUCACCUAAGCGACGCUCCCUCGCUGGUCUGAGAGGAUGACACGCAACUCUGGAACGGAGAAACGGUCAAGAUGCCAAGGGGAGGCGGCAGGGGGGAAUAUUGCACAAGGGGCGCAAGCCGGAUGCGGACAGGCGGCGUGUGGGAAGAAGGCCUUGGGGUUUUAAAGUACUUUCAGCGAGGAGGCGGUACUCGAAGAAGAAGCACCGGCUAACUCCGUGCCAGCCGCCGCGGUAAUUC
rnacentral:rRNA from 1 species